rnacentral:pre_miRNA from 1 species
UGAUCAAACUUCUUCGGGAUAAAAUAGUGAGUAGCUGACUUAGGGAAGUGAUCGACCAUUGGGAUAAGUUUAAAUCUGCUAUUUUUUACUCCAUAAACUUUUUACCGUGGGUAAAAAGAUUCUUGUUGGGGUAUAAAAAAAACCAGACUUAAAUUUAGCCCAAGGGUUGGUGAUGUAUUUUCUCCAAGAAGGUUGCUCACUAUUUUACCCCAUGAAGAUUGAUU